rnacentral:rRNA from 1 species
UACAGAGGGGGCAAGCGUUAUUCGGAAUUACUGGGCGUAAAGGGCGCGUAGGCGGCUGCUCAAGUCGGGUGUGAAAGCCCGGGGCUCAACCCCGGAACGGCACCCGAGACUGGGCGGCUCGAGACCGGGAGAGGUGGGUGGAAUACCCAGUGUAGAGGUGAAAUUCGUAGAUAUUGGGUGGAACACCGGUGGCGAAAGCGGCUCACUGGCCCGGUUCUGACGCUGAGGCGCGAAAGCGUGGGGAGCAAACAGG